rnacentral:rRNA from 1 species
GAGUUUGAUCCCUGGCUCAGGACGAACGCUGGCGGCGUGCCUAAUACAUGCAAGUCGAGCGGACAGAAGGGAGCUUGCUCCCGGAUGUUAGCGGCGGACGGGUGAGUAACACGUGGGUAACCUGCCUGUAAGACUGGGAUAACUCCGGGAAACCGGAGCUAAUACCGGAUAGUUCCUUGAACCGCAUGGUUCAAGGAUGAAAGACGGUUUCGGCUGUCACUUACAGAUGGACCCGCGGCGCAUUAGCUAGUUGGUGGGGUAAUGGCUCACCAAGGCGACGAUGCGUAGCCGACCUGAGAGGGUGAUCGGCCACACUGGGACUGAGACACGGCCCAGACUCCUACGGGAGGCAGCAGUAGGGAAUCUUCCGCAAUGGACGAAAGUCUGACGGAGCAACGCCGCGUGAGUGAUGAAGGUUUUCGGAUCGUAAAGCUCUGUUGUUAGGGAAGAACAAGUGCGAGAGUAACUGCUCGCACCUUGACGGUACCUAACCAGAAAGCCACGGCUAACUACGUGCCAGCAGCCGCGGUAAUACGUAGGUGGCAAGCGUUGUCCGGAAUUAUUGGGCGUAAAGGGCUCGCAGGCGGUUUCUUAAGUCUGAUGUGAAAGCCCCCGGCUCAACCGGGGAGGGUCAUUGGAAACUGGGAAACUUGAGUGCAGAAGAGGAGAGUGGAAUUCCACGUGUAGCGGUGAAAUGCGUAGAGAUGUGGAGGAACACCAGUGGCGAAGGCGACUCUCUGGUCUGUAACUGACGCUGAGGAGCGAAAGCGUGGGGAGCGAACAGGAUUAGAUACCCUGGUAGUCCACGCCGUAAACGAUGAGUGCUAAGUGUUAGGGGGUUUCCGCCCCUUAGUGCUGCAGCUAACGCAUUAAGCACUCCGCCUGGGGAGUACGGUCGCAAGACUGAAACUCAAAGGAAUUGACGGGGGCCCGCACAAGCGGUGGAGCAUGUGGUUUAAUUCGAAGCAACGCGAAGAACCUUACCAGGUCUUGACAUCCUCUGACAACCCUAGAGAUAGGGCUUUCCCUUCGGGGACAGAGUGACAGGUGGUGCAUGGUUGUCGUCAGCUCGUGUCGUGAGAUGUUGGGUUAAGUCCCGCAACGAGCGC